rnacentral:misc_RNA from 1 species
CAAAUGAAGGGGGAAGGAGCGACCAGCGCGGCUUCGCAAAUCGCGAUUGACGAUUUCUCGAAGGUCGAUCUGCGGGUCGCGAAGAUUACGGCCGCCGAGCACGUGGAGGGGGCGGACAGGCUGCUCAAGCUCACGCUCGACAUCGGCGAGCUCGGUACGCGACAGGUCUUUGCGGGUAUCAAGUCGGCGUACGAUCCGGAGAAGCUAACGGGCCGGCUGACGGUUGUCGUUGCCAACCUCGCGCCACGCAAAAUGAAGUUCGGUGUCUCCGAAGGGAUGGUACUGGCAGCUUCCGGUGACGGG